UACAGAGGUGGCAAGCGUUGUUCGGAAUUACUGGGCGUAAAGGGCGCGUAGGCGGCUUGGUCAGUCCCGUGUGAAAUCCCUCGGCUCAACUGAGGAACUGCACGGGAAACUGCCUGGCUUGAGUUCGGGAGAGGGAAGCGGAAUUCCGGGUGUAGCGGUGAAAUGCGUAGAUAUCCGGAGGAACACCGGUGGCGAAGGCGGCUUCCUGGACCGACACUGACGCUGAGGCGCGAAAGCUAGGGGGAGCAAACGGG
rnacentral:rRNA from 1 species